AUAGGGGAAGCAUACAAAAAUAAACUUUAACACACAAAAAUAACAUCUAUAUAUACAUUUUUGCAGCCAUUUUAGCAAAUAAAUUAUGGAUUUAUACUUAUUUACAAUCUAAUGCCAUUAGCAUUAAAUCUUUUUUCCAAAAUAAUUAAUUUUACUUUAAAUUUU
rnacentral:sRNA from 1 species